rnacentral:rRNA from 1 species
UUAAGCGACUAAGCGUACACGGUGGAUGCCCUGGCAGUCAGAGGCGAUGAAGGACGUGCUAAUCUGCGAUAAGCGUCGGUAAGGUGAUAUGAACCGUUAUAACCGGCGAUUUCCGAAUGGGGAAACCCAGUGUGAUUCGUCACACUAUCAUUAACUGAAUCCAUAGGUUAAUGAGGCGAACCGGGGGAACUGAAACAUCUAAGUACCCCGAGGAAAAGAAAUCAACCGAGAUUCCCCCAGUAGCGGCGAGCGAACGGGGAGCAGCCCAGAGCCUGAAUCAGUGUGUGUGUUAGUGGAAGCGUCUGGAAAGGCGUGCGAUACAGGGUGACAGCCCCGUACACAAAAAUACACAUACUGUGAGCUCGAUGAGUAGGGCGGGACACGUGGUAUCCUGUCUGAAUAUGGGGGGACCAUCCUCCAAGGCUAAAUACUCCUGACUGACCGAUAGUGAACCAGUACCGUGAGGGAAAGGCGAAAAGAACCCGGCGAGGGGAGUGAAAAAGAACCUGAAACCGUGUACGUACAAGCAGUGGGAGCACGCUUAGGCGUGUGACUGCGUACCUUUUGUAUAAUGGGUCAGCGACUUAUAUUCUGUAGCAAGGUUAACCGAAUAGGGGAGCCGAAGGGAAACCGAGUCUUAACUGGGCGUUAAGUUGCAGGGUAUAGACCCGAAACCCGGUGAUCUAGCCAUGGGCAGGUUGAAGGUUGGGUAACACUAACUGGAGGACCGAACCGACUAAUGUUGAAAAAUUAGCGGAUGACUUGUGGCUGGGGGUGAAAGGCCAAUCAAACCGGGAGAUAGCUGGUUCUCCCCGAAAGCUAUUUAGGUAGCGCCUCGUGAAUUCAUCUCCGGGGGUAGAGCACUGUUUCGGCAAGGGGGUCAUCCCGACUUACCAACCCGAUGCAAACUGCGAAUACCGGAGAAUGUUAUUACGGGAGACACACGGCGGGUGCUAACGUCCGUCGUGAAGAGGGAAACAACCCAGACCGCCAGCUAAGGUCCCAAAGUCAUGGUUAAGUGGGAAACGAUGUGGGAAGGCCCAGACAGCCAGGAUGUUGGCUUAGAAGCAGCCAUCAUUUUAAAGAAAGCGUAAUAGCUCACUGGUCGAGUCGGCCUGCGCGGAAGAUGUAACGGGGCUAAACCAUGCACCGAAGCUGCGGCAGCGACGCUUAUGCGUUGUUGGGUAGGGGAGCGUUCUGUAAGCCUGUGAAGGUGUGCUGUGAGGUAUGCUGGAGGUAUCAGAAGUGCGAAUGCUGACAUAAGUAACGAUAAAGCGGGUGAAAAGCCCGCUCGCCGGAAGACCAAGGGUUCCUGUCCAACGUUAAUCGGGGCAGGGUGAGUCGACCCCUAAGGCGAGGCCGAAAGGCGUAGUCGAUGGGAAACAGGUUAAUAUUCCUGUACUUGGUGUUACUGCGAAGGGGGGACGGAGAAGGCUAUGUUGGCCGGGCGACGGUUGUCCCGGUUUAAGCGUGUAGGCUGGUUUUCCAGGCAAAUCCGGAAAAUCAAGGCCGAGGCGUGAUGACGAGGCACUACGGUGCUGAAGCAACAAAUGCCCUGCUUCCAGGAAAAGCCUCUAAGCAUCAGGUAACAUCAAAUCGUACCCCAAACCGACACAGGUGGUCAGGUAGAGAAUACCAAGGCGCUUGAGAGAACUCGGGUGAAGGAACUAGGCAAAAUGGUGCCGUAACUUCGGGAGAAGGCACGCUGAUACGUAGGUGAAGCGACUUGCUCGUGGAGCUGAAAUCAGUCGAAGAUACCAGCUGGCUGCAACUGUUUAUUAAAAACACAGCACUGUGCAAACACGAAAGUGGACGUAUACGGUGUGACGCCUGCCCGGUGCCGGAAGGUUAAUUGAUGGGGUUAGCGCAAGCGAAGCUCUUGAUCGAAGCCCCGGUAAACGGCGGCCGUAACUAUAACGGUCCUAAGGUAGCGAAAUUCCUUGUCGGGUAAGUUCCGACCUGCACGAAUGGCGUAAUGAUGGCCAGGCUGUCUCCACCCGAGACUCAGUGAAAUUGAACUCGCUGUGAAGAUGCAGUGUACCCGCGGCAAGACGGAAAGACCCCGUGAACCUUUACUAUAGCUUGACACUGAACAUUGAGCCUUGAUGUGUAGGAUAGGUGGGAGGCUUUGAAGUGUGGACGCCAGUCUGCAUGGAGCCGACCUUGAAAUACCACCCUUUAAUGUUUGAUGUUCUAACGUGGACCCGUGAUCCGGGUUGCGGACAGUGUCUGGUGGGUAGUUUGACUGGGGCGGUCUCCUCCUAAAGAGUAACGGAGGAGCACGAAGGUUGGCUAAUCCUGGUCGGACAUCAGGAGGUUAGUGCAAUGGCAUAAGCCAGCUUGACUGCGAGCGUGACGGCGCGAGCAGGUGCGAAAGCAGGUCAUAGUGAUCCGGUGGUUCUGAAUGGAAGGGCCAUCGCUCAACGGAUAAAAGGUACUCCGGGGAUAACAGGCUGAUACCGCCCAAGAGUUCAUAUCGACGGCGGUGUUUGGCACCUCGAUGUCGGCUCAUCACAUCCUGGGGCUGAAGUAGGUCCCAAGGGUAUGGCUGUUCGCCAUUUAAAGUGGUACGCGAGCUGGGUUUAGAACGUCGUGAGACAGUUCGGUCCCUAUCUGCCGUGGGCGCUGGAGAACUGAGGGGGCUGCUCCUAGUACGAGAGGACCGGAGUGGACGCAUCACUGGUGUUCGGGUUGUCAUGCCAAUGGCACUGCCCGGUAGCUAAAUGCGGAAGAGAUAAGUGCUGAAAGCAUCUAAGCACGAAACUUGCCCCGAGAUGAGUUCUCCCUGACCCUUUAAGGGUCCUGAAGGAACGUUGAAGACGACGACGUUGAUAGGCCGGGUGUGUAAGCGCAGCGAUGCGUUGAGCUAACCGGUACUAAUGAACCGUGAGGCUUAACCUU